GAUGAAGAACGUAGCGAAAUGCGAUAAGUAAUGCGAAUUGCAGAAUUUCCGUGAGUCAUCGAAUCUUUGAACGCACAUUGCGCCCCUUGGUAUUCCGAGGGGCAUGCCUGUUCGAGCGUCAUUAUCACCCUUCAAGCUCUGCUUGGUGUUGGGGCCUGCUGUUAGGCAGCCCUUAAAAUUAGUGGCAGUGACCAUUAGGCUCUAAGCGUAGUAAUUCUUCUCGCUAUAGCGUCUAGUGGUUCCGCGCCAAAACCCCCAAUUUUUUAUGAUUGACCUCGGAUCAGGUAGGGAUACCCGCUGAACUUAAGCAUAUCAAUAAGCGGAGGA
rnacentral:misc_RNA from 1 species